GCCAGUGUGGAGUAGUGGUUUUGACUCUGGACUAUGAUUCUUGAGAUUCUUCAGGGUUUGAAUCCCUGCUCAACCA